rnacentral:tRNA from 1 species
GCCGAGGUGGUGAAAUUGGUAUACACGCUACCUUGAGGUGGUAGUGCCUAAAAAACGGGCGUACGGGUUCAAGUCCCGUCCUCGGCACCA